rnacentral:rRNA from 1 species
UGGGGAAUAUUGCACAAUGGGCGCAAGCCUGAUGCAGCCAUGCCGCGUGUGUGAAGAAGGCCUUCGGGUUGUAAAGCACUUUCAGCGAGGAGGAAGGGUAGUGUGUUAAUAGCACAUUGCAUUGACGUUACUCGCAGAAGAAGCACCGGCUAACUCCGUGCCAGCAGCCGCGGUAAUACGGAGGGUGCAAGCGUUAAUCGGAAUUACUGGGCGUAAAGCGCACGCAGGCGGUUUGUUAAGUCAGAUGUGAAAUCCCGC